rnacentral:rRNA from 1 species
GACGAACGCUAGCGGCGUGCUUAACACAUGCAAGUCGAACGGAAAGGCCCUGCUUUUGUGGGGUGCUCGAGUGGCGAACGGGUGAGUAACACGUGAGUAACCUGCCCUUGACUUUGGGAUAACUUCAGGAAACUGGGGCUAAUACCGGAUAGGAGCUCCUGCUGCAUGGUGGGGGUUGGAAAGUUUCGGCGGUUGGGGAUGGACUCGCGGCUUAUCAGCUUGUUGGUGGGGUAGUGGCUUACCAAGGCUUUGACGGGUAGCCGGCCUGAGAGGGUGACCGGCCACAAUGGGACUGAGAUACGGCCCAGACUCCUACGGGAGGCAGCAGGGGGGAAUAUUGCACAAUGGGCGGAAGCCUGAUGCAGCAACGCCGCGUGCGGGAUGACGGACUUCGGGUUGUAAACCGCUUUCGCCUGUGACGAAGCGUGAGUGACGGUAAUGGGUAAAGAAGCACCGGCUAACUACGUG